rnacentral:rRNA from 1 species
UACGUAGGUGGCAAGCGUUGUCCGGAUUUACUGGGCGUAAAGCGCCCGCAGGCGGCUUGGCAAGUUUGGGGUGAAAUCUCCCGGCUCAACUGGGGAGGGUCACGCGAUACUGCUCGACUCGAAGGCAGGAGAGGGAAGUGGAAUUCCCGGUGUAGUGGUGAAAUGCGUAGAUAUCGGGAGGAACACCAGUGGCGAAGGCGACUUCCUGGCCUGUUCUUGACGCUGAGGCGCGAAAGCUAGGGUAGCAAAUGGG